UGCCCUCCUCGCUAGAUGCUGCGGCGGCCGCCCGGGAGCAGCCACGCGCCGCGCUCGGCCGCCGACCGCGGGCAGCAGCCAGGGGCCGCCGCCGCCGGGGGCAGCGCUCGGCCGCCGCCGGGCCCAGGGGCAGCAGCGCGGAGCGGCGCGGAGAUGGUGCCGCUGGUGCGGGGCGCCGGGGGCUCCCACCAGUGGCUGGCGGCCGUGCUGCUCGGCCUCUGCUGCCUCCUGCCCCCCGGGCGCAUCGCCGCGCCGGGCGGGGACUUCCCCGGGGCGGCCGCGGACAGCCUGGUGGUGCGGAAGGGGGACACGGCCGUGCUGAGGUGUUACUUGGAAGAUGGAGCUUCAAAAGGUGCCUGGCUGAAUCGGUCAAGUAUUAUUUUUGCUGGAAGUGAUAAGUGGUCAGUAGAUCCUCGAGUUUCAAUUGCGACAGCAAAUAGAAGAGAAUACAGCCUGCAGAUACAGGACGUAGAUGUGACAGAUGAUGGUCCCUACACCUGUUCUGUGCAAACUCAGCAUACUCCUAGAACGAUGCAGGUGCACUUAACUGUACAAGUUUCUCCGAAGAUAUUUCGUAUUUCAAGUGACAUCAUUGUGAACGAAGGCAGCAACGUUACUCUCGUGUGUCUGGCCACAGGGAAACCAGAGCCUUCCAUUUCUUGGAGACACAUCUCACCAUCUGCAAAACCGUUUGAGAACGGACAGUACCUGGACAUCUAUGGAAUUACGAGAGACCAGGCUGGGGAAUACGAAUGCAGUGCAGAGAACGACGUCUCAGUCCCAGACGUGAAAAAAGUAAAAGUCACAGUAAACUUUGCCCCCACAAUUCAGGAACUUAAGUCCAGCGGCGUGAUGCUUGGAGGGAACGGACUGAUACGGUGUGAAGGUGCAGGCGUUCCUGCCCCAGUCUUUGAGUGGUACAGAGGAGAGAGGAAACUGAUCAAUGGUCAACAAGGAAUAACUAUUAAAAAUUAUAGUACAAGAUCGCUUCUUACUGUUACCAAUGUGACAGAAGAGCAUUUUGGCAACUAUACCUGUGUCGCUGCCAACAAGCUUGGGACGACAAAUGCCAGCCUGCCUCUCAACCGAAAAAGUUACACGCUCUGACAACAGUCACCGCAGUCUGAGGAAUCACAAUCGCUCACCGGAGAGGAUAACUCCCAGUACAGCCCAGUAUGGGAUCACCGGUGAUGCCGAAGUCCUGUUCUCCUGCUGGUACCUUGUGUUGACACUGUCCUCUCUCACCAGCAUAUUCUACCUGAAGAACAUCAUUCUGCACUAAAUGUAAAGAACCCUAAAAGGCUUUUAAGGAUUCUCUGAAAGUGCUGAUGACUGGAUCCAAUCUGGUAGAGUUUGUUAAAAGCAGCGUGGGAUAUAAUCAGCAGUGCUUACGUGGGGAUGAUCGCCUUCUGUAGAAUUGCUCAUUAUGUAAAUACUUUAAUUCUACUCCUUUUUUGAUUAGCUGCAUUACCUUGUGAAGCAGUACACAUUGUCCUUUUUUAAGACGUGAAAGCUCUGAAAUUACUUUUAGAGGAUAUUAAUUGUGAUUUCAUGUUUGUAAUCUACAAGUUUUCAAAAGCAUUCAGUCAUGGUCUGCUGAGUUGCAGACCGUAGUUUACAAAAAAAAGAAAAAAAAGAAAAAGAAUAUUGCAGUAAAAAUGUGCUUCUUUAAGGCUGCAAUACAACAUUCAGUACCCUUCUUAAAAACAUUCUAUCCACAUUUACACAGAAACUUUUUUUUUUCUUUUGAUAAAAAAAAAAUCAAUAUUGCCUUCAAAAUAUCUCUUCAAAAUAUUACACAUAUCUAGAUUUUCUUCCAGCAUGAUAUUCAGGUUUCAAGAAUGAGCCUUGUAUUAUAACUGCAUUGUGCAGUACUGCUUUUUGUUUUCUUCCUUUUUUCCUGCAAAUUCAGCAUGGGUGUGCCUUCAUAAAACACUACUUUCCUCUUCCACUCCAACAAAUUUGGAAUGUGUUUUGGGAAAUGCUAAAGCAUCCUUUUGAGCAUAACAAAUCUCUAACUGAGGAUGAAGGUGCUAUUGACUAGAAAGAAAAACCUCCUCUCCCAUCUCCAGUGGGUAAUGGAACUGCUUCAGAUGUAUAUUUUUAGGCAAUCAGUGAAGGAUAGCACCAAUUCCUUUUAUUUUUUUCCCAUCUACUAAGCAGUAGAUGAUCUCUGUAAAAAACUAGUUUUCCCAUUACAAAAGAGAACACAAAUUAUUUUGAGAUGUCUUUUGAAUGUAAGAAGGUUUCUCUUAGUCAUUCUAAAUCAGGAUUCUUAAAUGGCUGUAAAUGCGAGAAACUGAAUCGUCCCUUUUAUAUUACUGGCACAAAAAAAAACCUAUGUGAAUUGGUAUUUUUCUUGCACUUAAUUUUAUACUGGUUUGGCUAAUUUAGCAAUGAUAAAGGAUGCUUUUAAAUAUUAGAGAUCUGAAAAUACAUAAAGUAUCAAGCAGAAUUUUAUAUAUAUAUAAUAUAUAUAUAAAAUACAUAUAUAUAUUAAAACAAGGUUGCUCUAAUAAUUGUACUGAAUUGCAUGCUGCCGUCAAUGAUGCAUCUUUACAGACAGGACUUCAUUACUGACAUACUAAUACUGUACAAAUAGCUUACCACAGCAGUUUAGUUCUCGUACACGAUUUCCUAGGACUGCAGUCUAUCAAGAUAAGACUCUCAUUAACCUCAAUGAAGGAUCAAGUUUCAAAAUAGCAAAUAACAUUACUAUUUUUUCUAAGCAGCCCCAUACUGCAUCAUUGCAAAAUGUUGCUCACAGUUUACAGCUGAAUUUAAAAAUGCCAUCCAUGUAAAUUGCUGGGACAUGACUGUGUCCAGCAGCCUUUGAAUACAAGAUCUCCUAUUGACAACAAUAAUAAAACCAUUAUCUACAUUAUUAUUUCCCUGUUCUGUAUGUGAACUCUAAUAGGUGACACAAUUAUUAUAAAUAUGACAUUCUUUCUCCUAACAAUAAGGCUUUGUGGCUAGCAAUACCAGAUGAGUACUGUGCAUAUGCAGCAGUUCCAAAUCAAGUUUACAAACAUCCCACUUUCUGAAAAGACAAACUGUGAGUUUGCUUAGACUCAGUAUAUAUACUGUCCCAUGCUAAAAGGUAGUUCGAAUAUGUGGUGAACCUGUUGUUGUUACUGAUUAGCUCAGAUGCAGGGUAUAAAGUGAAAUAUGCUGACUCCAAAAUAUGGCAAUAAUUUGUCCUAGGUCACUCUGCUUUUGUUCAGUGACAGGUUGUACUAUUUCUAUUAUAUCAUUUGCAGCUGUGUGCUGAGCAGUUACUAUUUUGAGAAAUGUGGCAUUUUUUAAAAAGCCUUGAAUAACGUGGCAAAAUUAAUUCUUUAAGGAAAUGGCAUAAAACCAAUUCAAAUUAUACUAUACACAGUCCUGAUAUUCUGAUUUCCCUUGUAUUGCAGCUUUAAAGUGCUAUGUUUUAGAAUCCCUUCAUAAGAAACAGAGGUGCUGCAGAUAUCAUGUCAGUACAGUUUUAUGAAGAAAGAAAAAGGGGUACAAGUAACCCAACUCGUAUGCUGCGUCUCAUGUAAAACUGAGAGAUGUUUGUAUUCUGGGGCUGGAUCAAAUUAUAUAUUUCAAUUAUAUAUUUCAUUUCAGUGAUUCCUAAUAUCUGAAACCUGACAAUUCCAGUAACAGAAUAGAAUGAACAGCAGCUUUAUCAAAUGUGAAGAAAAUGAGGAAUGAGGUAUUGACUGUUAGCAGACACAGAGCCACUGGGUAACAUGGACAAGGCAUUUGGUCCCACCUCUGAAUUUUCACUUAAAUUUGUGGGGACAUGAUUGUUGUCAAGUCCAAAAAGAAAAAAAGUAUAUAUACAAAUAUUCCUAGGUGCCAAUAGCAUUUAGCAUUUUCUUAGAUAAGAUAGGUUCUUAAACACCAGUCAGAUCUGCGUGUUCAGCAGCGGACAUGUGCGCACCCACCCGCUCAGCCCCGUGCACUCAGGCUCGCGCAGGCGCCCCGUGUGCCUCGGUGCCACGGGGCUGGGCUCUGCAGGCUGCUCGGCAGGAGCCGACUGCCCCGUCCUGCGGCCCCCCACAGAGGCAGAGGCGCUUACCUUUAUGCACCGAUUAAUUCAAAGGGCGUGGUACAUGAAGAUAAGCAGCCUUGAUUUUUUGCAGGAUCGGAGCUAUAGGCAGUAUUGAUUGAAUAAAGAAACUUGGCUCCUCGGUUAACCUGUUCCUUGCGGUAAACCGGUAAUUGUGCAGUUUGGGACUUACUGGGACAUUCUUCCAACGCAGACUGUGCAGACUGCUGCCAAUUGAACUCAACAGCAUUUGACAAAAUCCAUUCACCCUUUAGUUUGUGGGGUGCGUUUGCUUUAGGCGACUGUUUGACGGUAUGUUCUACGCUUCUUCAAAUGGUUAACCCAUACUGUUCAUAUCUGUUGGUCAAAUAUUAUUAUAUUUAUUCCCACCUUUAAAACGUGAAAAAUAAAUGGCUUAGCUCCAAGCAGUAUAACUGAA